rnacentral:rRNA from 1 species
GACGAACGCUGGCGGCGUGCUUAACACAUGCAAGUCGAACGGAAAGGCCCUGCUUUUGUGGGGUUCUCGAGUGGCGAACGGGUGAGUAACACGUGAGUAACCUGCCCUUGACUUUGGGAUAACUUCAGGAAACUGGGGCUAAUAUCGGAUAGGAUCUCCUGCUGCAUGGUGUGGGUUGGAAAGUUUCGGCGGUUGGGGAUGGACUCGCGGCUUAUCAGCUUGUUGGUGGGGUAGUGGCUUACCAAGGCUUUGACGGGUAGCCGGCCUGAGAGGGUGACCGGCCACAUUGGGACUGAGAUACGGCCCAGACUCCUACGGGAGGCAGCAGUGGGGAAUAUUGCACAAUGGGCGGAAGCCUGAUGCAGCAACGCCGCGUGCGGGAUGACGGCCUUCGGGUUGUAAACCGCUUUCGCCUGUGACGAAGCGUGAGUGACGGUAAUGGGUAAAGAAGCACCGGCUAACUACGUG